rnacentral:lncRNA from 1 species
AGAUUUAGGGAUAUGUUCACAUCUCCCUCUUGAACUUUUUUAUUUAAGAAUCAAAAAAUGCUAACUGAGCUCCUAUCUGUCCCACCCCACUUCAUCCUGCUGCCCCUGAGACCCUGGACAUAGCAGUGGAAUGGACUCUUAGAUCUGCUGGCUUCUGUAAGCAAGGAUGCUUGAGAGCAUCAUGCCACCCAAGGUAUGACAAUAUGACAACUGGGAAUUAAAGAUGUCUUGGAGGCUGACCACUGGUUACCUAAUUUACGAGAGAUGUGUAAAACACAGACUGACCUACCACAGAAAAGGCCAGAAGCACAGCUGAGAAGAUCUGGGCACAAGUCUACAGAUAGAAAUUUCUCUGCUAUGGAUCUCAGUGAAACAACAAAAUGCCCCUACCAAAAGUUGCUCCCUGUGGGGAAUGAAAUUAGAUGAGACCUGGAGAGUGGAAAACAAAUUGAAUUCAUUUAACCAAACUGCUAUCUGACCAUUAAGGUUCAUCUCAAAACACAAGCACAAGAUCCCAGGCAAGGCAGUGUCAACAAGAUGAAUUAUGCUCUCAGUGUGCACGGCAGAGCAUGGCAUUGACUGUGCGAUCCCGGGGAGGUGGCCAGUGAGUCAACUUCUUUUUUGAGCUAUCUUGGUCUCUAUGUUGCAUUUAAAAAAAAAAUGGUUGUCUGUGUCUAAACAGUUCUAUUCAUCUCUGUAUUUUUUAUUGUGCAAUUGCAUGAUUAGAAUAAUAAAUCUUUUGGUGGAG